UGCUUAACUGUGAGAAUCAGUGACAAACCUGUGGGGCUUAUAUCUCAUCCGAUUUAAGGCGGCAAGUGAGUAUUAGUGCAGAGUAUAAAAUCAGGU
rnacentral:ribozyme from 2 species